rnacentral:rRNA from 1 species
AUAAAUAAGCGGUGGAAAAGAAACCAACAGGGAUUCCCUUAGUAGCGGCGAGCGAACAGGGAUGAGCCCAGCGCCGAAUUCCGCGUCCCAAAGGACGUUUGGAACAUGUGGCGUUUAGGAGGAAUCUCUCCGGAGGCAGACGGUGUCGCAAGUCCCCCUGAACGGGGCUGUGAUCCAGAGCGGGUGCGAGGCCCAUAGCUGGUACUGUCUCCUCCGGGUGUCACCUCCUUGGAGUCGGGUUGCUUGGGAGUGCAGCCCUAAUUGGGUGGUAAACUCCACCUAAGGCUAAAUACGUCCGUGAGACCGAUAGCAAACAAGUACCGUGAGGGAAAGUUGCAAAGAACUUUGAAGAGAGAGUUCAAGAGUACGUGAAACCGCUCAGAGGCAAACGGGUGGGCCCACGAAAGCCGAAGGCAGGGGGAUUCAGUCGAGAGGACGUUGGGGCAAGGCUGGCUGGUUUGACGGACCGUGCCAGGCCGGGUCAGCUCCCGAGACCCUUCGCCUCUCGACGCAUUUCCCUCUGCUUAGUAGGACGCCGCAACCCGUUGGUGCACGCAGCCAUAAGGGAGAGCGAUGGAAGGUAGCCAGUGAGCUCUUCUUCGGAGGCGCGAGCUGGUCCUAAGCCUGCUUUCCUGGUGCUUGUGGCCCGACGGUGGUCUCGAGUCCCUGAACGGGAUGUCGCCGAGCCCUUCUUGACCGAGCAGGGAGAAAUGGCAAGCUGCUUUCCGUGACCAAAAAACGGUUGCUCCACGCGUGCAGUGGACAACCUUCGGAAGCGGCUGUUGGUGCAUUUUCUCCUGCGCAGGGCACAGGCAGUUGGCGGCGAGUAGGUCGGUCACCCACCCGACCC